rnacentral:rRNA from 1 species
GAUGAACGCUGGCGGCGUGCCUAAUACAUGCAAGUCGAGCGAACAGAUAAGGAGCUUGCUCCGUUGACGUUAGGGGCGGAGGGGUGAGUAACACGUGGGUAACGUACCUAUAAGACGGGAAUAACUCCGGGAAACGGGGGAUAAUGGGGGAUAACAUUUAGAACCGCAUGGUUGUAAGGUGAGAGAUGGUGGUGGUAUCACUUAUAGAUGGACCCGCGCCGUAUUAGCUAGUUGGUAAGGUAACGGCUUACCAAGGCAACGAUACGUAGCCGAGCUGAGAGAGUGAUCGGCCACCCGGGAACUGAGACACGGUCCAGACUCCUACGGGAGGCAGCAGUCGGCAAUCUUCGGCAAUGGGCGAAAGCCUGACGCAGCAACGCCGCGUGAGUGAUGAAGGCCUCCGGAGCGUAAAACUCUGUUAUUAGGGAAGAACAAAUGUGUAAGUAACUGUGCACGUCUUGACGGUACCUAAUCAGAAAGCCACGGCUAACUACGUG